CGUGUAGGCGGCUUGGUAAGCGGUCUGUGAAAUCCCGGGGCUCAACCCCGGAACUGCAGACCGAACUGCCGAGCUAGAGAACGAGAGGGGACUGUGGAACUCUAGGUGGAGCGGUGAAAUGCGUAGAUAUCUAGAGGAACACCGGUGGCGAAAGCGACAGUCUGGCUCGUUUCUGACGCUGAGGCGCGAAAGCGUGGGUAGCAAACAGGAUUAGAUACCCUGGUAGUCC
rnacentral:rRNA from 1 species